rnacentral:rRNA from 1 species
AGUGAACGCUGGCGGUAGGCCUAACACAUGCAAGUCGAACGGCAGCACAGUAAGAGCUUGCUCUUACGGGUGGCGAGUGGCGGACGGGUGAGGAAUACAUCGGAAUCUACUUUUUCGUGGGGGAUAACGUAGGGAAACUUACGCUAAUACCGCAUACGACCUACGGGUGAAAGCAGAGGAUCUUCGGACCUUGCGCGAUUGAAUGAGCCGAUGUCGGAUUAGCUAGUUGGCGGGGUAAAGGCCCACCAAGGCGACGAUCCGUAGCUGGUCUGAGAGGAUGAUCAGCCACACUGGAACUGAGACACGGUCCAGACUCCUACGGGAGGCAGCAGUGGGGAAUAUUGGACACAGGGCGCAAGCCUGAUCCAGCCAUACCGCGUGGGUGAAGAAGGCCUUCGGGUUGUAAAGCCCUUUUGUUGGGAAAGAAAAGCAGCAGGUUAAUACCCCGCUGUUCUGACGGUACCCAAAGAAUAAGCACCGGCUAACUUCGUG